AUUGAACGCUGGCGUCAGGCCUAACACAUGCCAGUCUACCGAGUCGCGGACGGGUGAGUAAUGUCUGGGAAACUGCCUGAUGGAGGGGGAUAACUACUGGAAACGGUUGCUAAUACCGCAUCCCAUCGGAUGUGCCCAGCUGGGAUUGGCUAGUUGGUGGGGUAACGGCUCACCUAGGCGACGAGCCCUAGCUGGUCUGAGAGGAUGACGAGCCACACUGGAACUAAGACACGGUCCAGACUCCUACGGGAGGCAGCAGGGGGGAAUAUUGCACAAUGGGCGCAAGCCUGAUGCAGCCAUGCCGCGUGUAUGAAGAAGGCCUUCGGGUUGUAAAGUACUUUCAGCGGGGAGGCGUUACCCGCAGAAGAAGCACCGGCUAACUCCGUGCCAGCAGCCGCGGUAAUAC
rnacentral:rRNA from 1 species